rnacentral:rRNA from 1 species
GAUGAACGCUGGCGGCGUGCCUAAUACAUGCAAGUCGAGCGAACAGACGAGGAGCUUGCUCCUCUGACGUUAGCGGCGGACGGGUGAGUAACACGUGGAUAACCUACCUAUAAGACUGGGAUAACUUCGGGAAACCGGGGCUAAUACCGGAUAAUAUAUUGAACCGCAUGGUUCAAUAGUGAAAGACGGUUUUGCUGUCACUUAUAGAUGGAUCCGCGCCGCAUUAGCUAGUUGGUAAGGUAACGGCUUACCAAGGCAACGAUGCGUAGCCGACCUGAGAGGGUGAUCGGCCACACUGGAACUGAGACACGGUCCAGACUCCUACGGGAGGCAGCAGUAGGGAAUCUUCCGCAAUGGGCGAAAGCUUGACGGAGCAACGCCGCGUGAGUGAUGAAGGUCUUCGGAUCGUAAAACUCUGUUAUUAGGGAAGAACAAAUGUGUAAGUAACGAUGCACGUCUUGACGGUACCUAAUCAGAAAGCCACGGCUAACUACGU